CGGGCAACUCACCCUGGACAGUCAGCUUGCGGAAUCGGUGAGGCACAACUGCCUGUCUCCCACAGAGAUGAGCUGAGGUUGUGUCCUCUGUGGUUAUCCCACUGGGGGCUGGGAAUCUAUCCCUGCCCCCAGAGAUCCUAGCCAGAAGAUGGCAGGUCUAGCAUCUGUCCCAGGAGUCUGUUACCUGUCCUAAUUCCCCACUCCUCUAGGCAGGGCCAGCAUUUCUGCGGGGGGUCUCUAGUGAAGGAGCAGUGGAUACUGACUGCCCGGCAGUGCUUCUCCUCCUGGUGAGCCUCCCUUGUGUUUGGGGACCCAGUCUCAUCCCACCUUCCCCCUUCCCCAGGCAAGCUAACAAGUGAGCCUUGGGGCAAUGGACUGAGAGUCACAAAUGACCUAGCAGAGCUUCUCUCCCAGCCAUAUGCCUCUCACGGGCUAUGAGGUAUGGUUGGGCACCCUGUUCCAGAACCCACAGCAUGGAGAGCCAGGCCUACAGCGGGUCCCAGUAGCCAAGAUGGUGUGUGGGCCCUCAGGCUCCCAGCUUGUCCUGCUCAAGCUGGAGAGGUAUGUGGACAACCUGGGAGGGUGUGAGGUGGGGCUGGGCCUUGUGGCCUCAGACCCUGAGUGCCCCCAUUCUUGCUAAAGAUCUGUGACCCUGAACCAGCGUGUGGCCCUGAUCUGCCUGCCCCCUGAAUGGUAUGUGGUGCCUCCAGGGACCAAGUGUGAGAUUGCAGGCUGGGGUGAGACCAAAGGUACGGGUAAUGACACAGUCCUAAAUGUGGCCUUGCUGAAUGUCAUCUCCAACCAGGAGUGUAACAUCAAGCACCGAGGACGUGUGCGGGAGAGUGAGAUGUGCACUGAGGGACUGUUGGCCCCUGUGG
rnacentral:sRNA from 1 species